GCCAUUGUAGCAUAGUGGUUUGAGUGUUGGACUAUGGCUUUGGAGACCAAGGUUUGAAUCCCUGCUGGGCA